UCGGGAAUUUUGGGCAAUGGGGGAAACCCUGACCCAGCAACGCCGCGUGAAGGAUGAAGUAUUUCGGUAUGUAAACUUCGAAAGAAUAGGAAGAAUAAAUGACGGUACUAUUUAUAAGGUCCGGCUAACUACGUGCCAGCAGCCGCGGUAAUACGUAGGGUGCAGGCGUUAAUCGGAAUUACUGGGCGUAAAGCGUGCGCAGGCGGUUUGUUAAGACAGAUGUGAAAUCCCCGGGCUUAACCUGGGAACUGCGUUUGUAACUGGCAAGCUAGAGUGUGGCAGAGGGGGGUGGAAUUCCAAGUGUAGCAGUGAAAUGCGUAGAUAUUUGGAGGAACACCGAUGGCGAAGGCAGCCCCCUGGGCUAACACUGACGCUCAUGCACGAAAGCGUGGGGAGCAAACAGGAUUAGAUACCCUUGUAGUCCCUGAGCGGGCUGGCAAGGCGCAU
rnacentral:rRNA from 1 species